GGCAACAGCUCAAAUUUGAAAUCUGGCUUCGGCCCGAGUUGUAAUUUGCAGAGGAAGCUUUAGGCGCGGCACCAACUGAGUCCCCUGGAACGGGGCGCCAUAGAGGGUGAGAGCCCCGUAUAGUUGGACGCUAAGCCUGUGUAAAGCUCCUUCGACGAGUCGAGUAGUUUGGGAAUGCUGCUCAAAAUGGGAGGUAAAUUUCUUCUAAAGCUAAAUACCGGCCAGAGACCGAUAGCGCACAAGUAGAGUGAUCGAAAGAUGAAAAGCACUUUGAAAAGAGGGUUAAAUAGCACGUGAAAUUGUUGAAAGGGAAGCGCUUGUGACCAGACUUGCGCCUGGCUGAUCAUCCGGUGUUCUCACCGGUGCACUCUGCCAGGCUCAGGCCAGCAUCGGUUCUCGCGGGGGGAUAAAGGCCCUGGGAACGUAGCUCCUCCGGGAGUGUUAUAGCCCAGGGUGCAAUGCCCUCGCGGGGACCGAGGUUCGCGCAUCUGCAAGGAUGCUGGCGUAAUGGUCAUCAGCGACCCGUCU
rnacentral:rRNA from 1 species